UACGGGGGGGGCAAGCGUUGUUCGGAAUUACUGGGCGUAAAGGGCGCGUAGGCGGCGCGGUAAGUCACUUGUGAAAUCUCUGAGCUUAACUCAGAACGGCCAAGUGAUACUGCAGUGCUAGAGUGCAGAAGGGGCAAUCGGAAUUCUUGGUGUAGCGGUGAAAUGCGUAGAUAUCAAGAGGAACACCUGAGGUGAAGACGGGUUGCUGGGCUGACACUGACGCUGAGUGCGCGAAAGCCAGGGGAGCAAACGGG
rnacentral:rRNA from 1 species